AUGAACGCUAGCUACAGGCUUAACACAUGCAAGUCGAGGGGCAGCAUGGUCUAGCAAUAGACUGAUGGCGACCGGCGCACGGGUGAGUAACACGUAUCCAACCUACCGGUUAUUCUGGGAUAGCCUUUCGAAAGAAAGAUUAAUACCGGAUAGUAUAACGAGAAGGCAUCUUCUUGUUAUUAAAGAAUUUCGAUAACCGAUGGGGAUGCGUUCCAUUAGUUUGUUGGCGGGGUAACGGCCCACCAAGACAUCGAUGGAUAGGGGUUCUGAGAGGAAGGUCCCCCACAUUGGAACUGAGACACGGUCCAAACUCCUACGGGAGGCAGCAGUGAGGAAUAUUGGUCAAUGGACGAGAGUCUGAACCAGCCAAGUAGCGUGAAGGAUGACUGCCCUAUGGGUUGUAAACUUCUUUUAUAUGGGAAUAAAGUGCAGUAUGUAUACUGUUUUGUAUGUACCAUACGAAUAAGGAUCGGCUAACUCCGUGCCAGCAGCCGCGGUAAUACGGAGGAUCCGAGCGUUAUCCGGAUUUAUUGGGUUUAAAGGGAGCGUAGGCGGAAGCUUAAGUCAGUUGUGAAAGUUUGCGGCUCAACCGUAAAAUUGCAGUUGAUACUGGGUUUCUUGAGUGCAGUAGAGGUAGGCGGAAUUCGUGGUGUAGCGGUGAAAUGCUUAGAUAUCACGAAGAACUCCGAUUGCGAAGGCAGCUUACUGGACUGUAACUGACGCUGAUGCUCGAAAGUGUGGGUAUCAAACAGGAUUAGAUACCCUGGUAGUCCACACAGUAAACGAUGAAUACUCGCUGUUUGCCAUAUAAUGCAAGCGGCCAAGCGAAAGCAUUAAGUAUUCCACCUGGGGAGUACGCCGGCAACGGUGAAACUCAAAGGAAUUGACGGGGGCCCGCACAAGCGGUGGAGCAUGUGGUUUAAUUCGAAGCAACGCGAAGAACCUUACCAGGUCUUGACAUCCCGAUGCUAUUUCUAGAGAUAGAAAGUUACUUCGGUACAUCGGUGACAGGUGGUGCAUGGUUGUCGUCAGCUCGUGCCGUGAGGUGUCGGCUUAAGUGCCAUAACGAGCGCAACCCUUAUCUUUAGUUACUAACAGGUCAUGCUGAGGACUCUAGAGAGACUGCCGUCGUAAGAUGUGAGGAAGGUGGGGAUGACGUCAAAUCAGCACGGCCCUUACGUCCGGGGCUACACACGUGUUACAAUGGGGGGUACAGAAGGCAGCUACACAGCGAUGUGAUGCUAAUCCCAAAAGCCUCUCUCAGUUCGGAUUGGAGUCUGCAACCCGACUCCAUGAAGCUGGAUUCGCUAGUAAUCGCGCAUCAGCCACGGCGCGGUGAAUACGUUCCCGGGCCUUGUACACACCGCCCGUCAAGCCAUGAAAGCCGGGGGUACCUGAAGUCCGUAACCGUAAGGAGCGGCCUAGGGUAAAACUGGUAAUUGGGGCU
rnacentral:rRNA from 1 species